GUGACCAUAGCUCAACUGGUUAGAGCACCAGACUGUGGCUCUGGGGGUUGAGGGUUCGAGUCCCUCUGGUCACCCCA
rnacentral:tRNA from 1 species